rnacentral:rRNA from 1 species
UUAAGCGACUAAGCGUACACGGUGGAUGCCUAGGCAGUCAGAGGCGAUGAAGGGCGUGCUAAUCUGCGAAAAGCGUCGGUAAGCUGAUAUGAAGCGUUAUAACCGACGAUACCCGAAUGGGGAAACCCAGUGCAAUACGUUGCACUAUCGUUAGAUGAAUACAUAGUCUAACGAGGCGAACCGGGGGAACUGAAACAUCUAAGUACCCCGAGGAAAAGAAAUCAACCGAGAUUCCCCCAGUAGCGGCGAGCGAACGGGGAGGAGCCCAGAGUCUGAAUCAGUUUGUGUGUUAGUGGAAGCGUCUGGAAAGUCGCACGGUACAGGGUGAUAGUCCCGUACACCAAAAUGCACAGGCUGUGAACUCGAUGAGUAGGGCGGGACACGUGACAUCCUGUCUGAAUAUGGGGGGACCAUCCUCCAAGGCUAAAUACUCCUGACUGACCGAUAGUGAACCAGUACCGUGAGGGAAAGGCGAAAAGAACCCCGGCGAGGGGAGUGAAAUAGAACCUGAAACCGUGUACGUACAAGCAGUGGGAGCACCUUCGUGGUGUGACUGCGUACCUUUUGUAUAAUGGGUCAGCGACUUAUAUUUUGUAGCAAGGUUAACCGAAUAGGGGAGCCGUAGGGAAACCGAGUCUUAACUGGGCGUCUAGUUGCAAGGUAUAGACCCGAAACCCGGUGAUCUAGCCAUGGGCAGGUUGAAGGUUGGGUAACACUAACUGGAGGACCGAACCGACUAAUGUUGAAAAAUUAGCGGAUGACUUGUGGCUGGGGGUGAAAGGCCAAUCAAACCGGGAGAUAGCUGGUUCUCCCCGAAAGCUAUUUAGGUAGCGCCUCGUGAACUCAUCUUCGGGGGUAGAGCACUGUUUCGGCUAGGGGGCCAUCCCGGCUUACCAAACCGAUGCAAACUCCGAAUACCGAAGAAUGUUAUCACGGGAGACACACGGCGGGUGCUAACGUCCGUCGUGAAGAGGGAAACAACCCAGACCGCCAGCUAAGGUCCCAAAGUCAUGGUUAAGUGGGAAACGAUGUGGGAAGGCACAGACAGCCAGGAUGUUGGCUUAGAAGCAGCCAUCAUUUAAAGAAAGCGUAAUAGCUCACUGGUCGAGUCGGCCUGCGCGGAAGAUGUAACGGGGCUAAACCAUGCACCGAAGCUGCGGCAGCGACGUUUAGGCGUUGUUGGGUAGGGGAGCGUUCUGUAAGCCGUUGAAGGUGACCUGUGAGGGUUGCUGGAGGUAUCAGAAGUGCGAAUGCUGACAUAAGUAACGAUAAUGCGGGUGAAAAACCCGCACGCCGGAAGACCAAGGGUUCCUGUCCAACGUUAAUCGGGGCAGGGUGAGUCGACCCCUAAGGCGAGGCUGAAAAGCGUAGUCGAUGGGAAACAGGUUAAUAUUCCUGUACUUGGUGUUACUGCGAAGGGGGGACGGAGAAGGCUAGGCUGGCCGGGCGACGGUUGUCCCGGUUUAAGCGUGUAGGGGGAGUGACCAGGUAAAUCCGGUUGCUUAUCAACCCUGAGGCGUGAUGACGAUGCACUACGGUGCAGAAGCAGUUGAUGCCAUGCUUCCAGGAAAAGCCUCUAAGCAUCAGGUAACAUUAAAUCGUACCCCAAACCGACACAGGUGGUCAGGUAGAGAAUACUCAGGCGCUUGAGAGAACUCGGGUGAAGGAACUAGGCAAAAUGGUGCCGUAACUUCGGGAGAAGGCACGCUGGCGUUAGGUGAAAGGACUAGCUCCUGGAGCUGAAGCCAGUCGCAGAUACCAGCUGGCUGCAACUGUUUAAUAAAAACACAGCACUGUGCAAACACGAAAGUGGACGUAUACGGUGUGACGCCUGCCCGGUGCUGGAAGGUUAAUUGAUGGGGUCAGCCGCAAGGCGAAGCUCUUGAUCGAAGCCCCAGUAAACGGCGGCCGUAACUAUAACGGUCCUAAGGUAGCGAAAUUCCUUGUCGGGUAAGUUCCGACCUGCACGAAUGGCGUAAUGAUGGCCAGGCUGUCUCCACCCGAGACUCAGUGAAAUUGAACUCGCUGUGAAGAUGCAGUGUACCCGCGGCAAGACGGAAAGACCCCGUGAACCUUUACUAUAGCUUGACACUGAACAUUGAGCCUUGAUGUGUAGGAUAGGUGGGAGGCAUUGAAGUGUGGACGCCAGUCUGCAUGGAGCCAACCUUGAAAUACCACCCUUUAAUGUUUGAUGUUCUAACUCGGCCCCAUGAUCUGGGGUGAGGACAGUGUCUGGUGGGUAGUUUGACUGGGGCGGUCUCCUCCCAAAGAGUAACGGAGGAGCACGAAGGUUAGCUAAUCACGGUCGGACAUCGUGAGGUUAGUGCAAAGGCAUAAGCUAGCUUGACUGCGAGAGUGACGGCUCGAGCAGGUACGAAAGUAGGUCUUAGUGAUCCGGUGGUUCUGAAUGGAAGGGCCAUCGCUCAACGGAUAAAAGGUACUCCGGGGAUAACAGGCUGAUACCGCCCAAGAGUUCAUAUCGACGGCGGUGUUUGGCACCUCGAUGUCGGCUCAUCACAUCCUGGGGCUGAAGUAGGUCCCAAGGGUAUGGCUGUUCGCCAUUUAAAGUGGUACGCGAGCUGGGUUUAGAACGUCGUGAGACAGUUCGGUCCCUAUCUGCCGUGGGCGUUGGAAGAUUGAGAGGGGCUGCUCCUAGUACGAGAGGACCGGAGUGGACGAAUCACUGGUGUUCGGGUUGUCAUGCCAAUGGCAUUGCCCGGUAGCUAAAUUCGGAAGAGAUAACCGCUGAAAGCAUCUAAGCGGGAAACUUGCCUCGAGAUGAGUCUUCCCUGGGGCUUAAAGCCCCCUGAAGGAACGUUAAAGACUAUGACGUUGAUAGGCUGGGUGUGUAAGUGCAGCGAUGUAUUGAGCUAACCAGUACUAAUGAUCCGUGAGGCUUAACCUU